AAUUGUGUAAAUUUCUUGGUUGUAUUAAUGUAAGUUUUAUUGAAAAUCGAUUAAAUUUCAAAUAGGAUUAAUACAUACGGUCAGUUUAACAAGUACAAGUAAUACGAGUAUUAUUCAAAAUACAACAUUCAUUUAAAGCAACAAGCACGAUGGAAGAACUAACAACAAGAUACUCAGCGGAUAUCCCUCCAAUUUGAGUUUCAAGUUGAACAGAAGUUUAUAUGUCAAAAGGUAUAAGCUUGAAGCUGGCAAAUCAUAAAAUUAAUCUUUUCAUUCAGAAAAUAGAAAUUUCCAUUUUUCUAUGCUAAAAUCUUCAAGACAUUUCAAUCUCACUGGCCAUGUAGGCAAUUAAAAUUUGGCAAAAAAUUCCUAGUAUUUAAAACUACUCACUAACAGUUAAACGAUCGAUAAAGGGAAAACAGUAAUAAUAAAAUAUGGCUAGAAAAGGGACGGCACAUAUGAAAAUAAAUUGACAUUUCAAACAUAAA